GGUGUGGCCCGAGUGGGAGUGGCCCUGGGGGACAGGCCUGAAACCUGUGGGCUCAGCUGAGUCCACGCCGAGGCCACUGCAUCUUCGACCCUUGUUCUACACCGAGCGGAGACCUAACGGGAUAAUGAGGGCGCUGACGGGCGUUUAGGGACCCCGGCUCCGUCUCCAGUAUAAUUACAUCAUCUCCUUAACCAGGAGAAUUGCUGUCUGCUCCUCAGCUCUGUAUCAUUAAUGAAGAUCUUUGUUGGGUUUCCUUAACACAGUUGCUUCAGAGUUCUGAAAAGAUAGAUAUUAGGAAAAUGAAAAGAUAAGGAAAAUUUUCCUGGAAGAUAUUGUUGCUGAAUGGGAGGAAAUGAAAUUGAUGGAUAGCUUGAGUAGUCCAUCAUCACCAUAAUCAUCAUCAUCAUCAUCAUCAUCAUCAUGAUCAUCAGAAGUGUGGUCUAACCCCACUUAGUGCUUCUGUUGGAUCGGAAUUAAAAUCUCUUUUAAUUGCUACCCA